GGAGAGUUGGCAGAAUGGUAAUGCGCUCGCCUCGAAAGCGAGUGGCCGCAAGGCCUUGCAGGUUCGAGCCCUGCACUCUCCG
rnacentral:tRNA from 1 species